rnacentral:rRNA from 1 species
AGCAGCCGCGGUAAUUCCAGCUCCAAUAGCGUAUAUUAAAGUUGUUGCAGUUAAAAAGCUCGUAGUUGAAUUUCGGAAUUUGUCGGUUGGUCGGGCUUCACUGUCCGCACUGGCCUGAUGGAUUCCUACCUUCUGAAUAACCAGCAUGCUAUUAAUUUAGUGCGUUGGGGAAGCAGAGCUAUUACCUUGAAAAAAUUAGAGUGCUUAAAGCAGGCUCACGCUUGAAUAGAUUAGCAUGGAAUAAUAAAAUAGGACGGCUUGGUUCUAUUUUGUUGGUUUCUAGGAUCACCGUAAUGAUUAAUGGGGAUAGUUGGGGGCAUUAGUAUUCAAUUGUCAGAGGUGAAAUUCUUGGAUUUAUUGAAGACUAACUUCUGCGAAAGCAUUUGCCAAGGAUGUUUUCAUUAAUCAAGAACGAAAGUUAGGGGAUCGAAGACGAUCAGAUACCGUCGUAGUCUUAACCAUAAACUAUGCCGACUAGGGAUCGGACGAUGUUAAUUUUUUAAUGACUCG